rnacentral:ncRNA from 1 species
GAGAGCCAAAUGAAUCGAAAGGUUCAUGUUUGGUUCGGGAAGGGAGGGAAGGGAUCAUGAAAUUUUUGAAAUAAAAAAAAUGAAUGGAAAGAUAAUCUACUUUCAU